rnacentral:misc_RNA from 1 species
UCGCUCCGCUCGCACGGCACCGAGAGCACACCUCCGCUCGGUGCGUGCCAGCACACACGCUCCACCGUGCCAUCGUCGCACGAAGUCGCACGCCGGCACAUGCGUGUCCAACUUUGCAUUCAUCAGCUUCGCUUGUUUCUCGUGUCCACCGUGAGAGCGAGAGGAGUGGAGUGGAAGACGGUGCACGGCGGUCUCUUUCGCCUUCCUCUCUGACUCGUUCUCUUGGGUGGCCUUCGUGUCCGAGGCAGCGAUCACGACCACCGCCAUCCCUCACGCACGCAGAGUACGGGCUUGCGCAGGCACCCAGAGAAAGAGAGAGGGAAGGGAGAGAGGGGAAGGACCUGCAUCCACCGCAUGAAACGUACGCUUUUCGCCUGGCGGGCGCCGACUCUUUCUUCGCCCACUGGUGGCGCGCCAGUCCCUAUUAUAUUUUCUUUUGUGCUCUCAGCGCAGCCCGAGAGUACAGCGCUACACCCUCACUUCCGCACUACUACACCCCGCCCCUGCCCCCCUCCUGCACCUCGCUUUCGCAUCUGUGACCUGCCCCUGCUCGUGUGCGGGUCGACACUCAUCGAUCUCCACAACUCUGUCGUGCUGCGCUUGUUGUUGUUGUUGUUGUUGUUGUUGUUGUGUGUGUGUGUGUGUGUGUUUGUAUGAGUGCGCGUGUGCCCGCCCACCAAUCGCGGCCAUCUUCUUUUUCUUAUUCUCUAGCUUCUGCCCACCGCCUCCCUUUCGUGCGGUUGUCGCUGGCGUUGGUGCCACCUCCGCCUUUUCCCCUUCCCUGUCCUCCCGCGCCCGUGCACACGCACACGGAGCCGAUCACGUCGCUGUGCGUGUUGUGGUGUGUCGUGGUUGGGGUUCUCUGCUGCCCCGCUGCUUUUCGUUCGUUCUCUUUUUGGUAUUUCUCGCCUCCGUGCUCCCCCUCGGUGAUCUACGGCGCCCUGCCCCCCUCGUGUGCAUUCCGCCACCCACCCGACGCACGCGCGCGGGACAGACUUUUUCUGGUUCUCUCGGCUAUCAACGUUUGAGGGCACGCGAGUUUACGAGAGCGCAGACACGAGAGCAGAGGGCGUCCUCUUGCGACCUUCGCGUAGUGCUGUGCAUCUAAUUCCAACGCCUGUCUGUGUGUUUCUGUGUGUGUGUGUGAGCACACGCGUGUACCUCUCCUCUCUGAGGAGGGUGCACACGGCUCGAGAGCAAAAUCAAAACGCCACGCGCACACACGGGGCGGUAGAAGCGAGCAGUGUGGCAUGCAUACAGACGCGCAGCACCCAUCGGAAUGGAGUUCGAUGCGUUGCUCAACACCCUCUGCUUGACGAGCUUCGUCCUCUUCGGGCUCUGGAUCGUAGCGCAUGCCGUACAGGUGGUGGAGCUGCACUUCGUAAUGCAGGCCUACACGCAUCACAAAACAUAUAUUUUUACAAUACCUUUUGUGCCGCUCAUAACGCGGCUGUUUCACGAGAUGGCCUUGCCGCAGUUCUUGGCGUCUGAAGCUAUCCAGAGGGGCGAGCUGCCGCCAGCCAUGAGGACGCAUGGCCGUCGCACACCGGCAGCGGUGCCCGUCGAGUACGUUGACGCGGGCGGUGCCCCGUCACUAUCAACCUUGACGAACUUCCACGCCGUCAGCAGCGCAUCAUUGCCACCACCGUCCCCAUCGACGCUCAGCACGGUCCUGAACAAGUCGUCCGCCAACACCCCCACGGACAGCCUCAGACGCAGAGCUGGCAGGACAAAGAAGGAGGGGAAGCGCAAGCGGGCUGGUGACGGCGUUGAUCGGGAGAGCGCGCAGCACCAGGAGGAGCCGCGGCAACAGGGCUCCGUGGCUGUGUCCAUUUUAGACCCCAGCCUCGCAGCCGCUAGCGACUUGGAGUUUCCCUCCUCGCCCAACCCGGCGUGGUGGACGCCGCAGUUGGAAGGUCGAUGCUUAGUAUUCGGUCUCCGCCUGCCGUUCGAGCUGCUCCCUGCAUCGAGGUCGGCGCCGCAGGCAAGCGCGUUCGGGAACGCGGAAGCGCGUGGUGUAGGUGGCAGCAGUAGCACGGGCAACUGGCCUGGAAGCGGCAGCGGCGCCACGACGCGCCAGCCGACCGUGAACCUUCAGCUCAAGCAGUACCAGCUUACCCCAGCCUCUCUCGUUGCCUCUGCGGCUGCGCCGUCGCCGGCCUUGCACCACCACACAGUGCUAUCCAGCAACGCAGAGCUGCAGACACAAGUAGCCGUCGAACAGCAACUCUCGGUGGCACCAGUGCGUGUAUACACCCGUGCCGCACUAUCGCGUGCGCGGAUCAGCACAUCCGUCGUGCCGUCGCCGCGUCAGUGCUACUCGUCCCCGGACGCCUCUUCACCGAGCCGCUACACAUGGCCCGGUGCGUCGCCGCUUGCUCGCACGCCAUCGCCGCACCUGGACUUUGAUUCUAUCAAGUACGCCUAUACGCAGUACUACCAGCGCCUCCUGGAGACGGCCGUGGCAGAGCAAACCGCCAUCGCCCACCGCGCGCACAAGGACCGCAAGUCGGCCAAGAGUGCGCAGCGCAUAGCGGCGAUGCUAAUGCACUACCUCAAGUACUCACGCAUAGAUGACAACGUUGAGGAUGAUGUCAACGACGGGGACGCGGAGGGCAGAGCUAGGGUCGGCGGUGGCAGCGGCUCAGGGGUCGACACUAGUCUGGCUGCAUCCAGCAAGCGAAGAGCCGCGGCGACACCGAGAGUCACAGCCGGACAUGACAACGCAGGCGUCUUCCGAUCACGCAGCAAGCGCAGACGCCGCGCUAGAAGUGGAAAGAACCGUGGCGGGGUCGGCGUGGGCGCGGCAGACCGUCCUCAGCGCAGCUGUGGGCCAUGGAUACCGGUGCUGGGCUACAGCGCUGGUCAUCAUAGCGACGAGUACGAUGCAGUCGGACGAGACAGAGACUUGGUGUCGUCGGCGCUGUCGGGCCACAGCCUUUACCAUACCGCGGCGCCCAUGCCUCCUUCGCAGCUCUUACUGGCUCAGCAGAGUUCGCUCAAGAGCCUCUCAUCACCGUCGCUCAUGCAGCCGUCGCAGACGGCGGUGGUUCCGCCACCGCUGCCCCCCGUAUACGAGCUACGACGCGGCAUCAACAAGCGUCGCCGACGCGCAGAGACGCCGAGUAUCGCGGAUAGCGCCGUCGAGGCGCUCGAAGGCCUCGUGGAGCGAGUGCGGCUCGCGCAGACGCUGCGGCCACGGUACCAGUCGCUGCUUUGCACCGUCCGCUUCGCAGCCGAGAGAUUUAUCGUGCGUCGUGGUGCGAGCGAGCCGCCGACGUGGACGCCGCUGCAGACGGCCGCCGCAGCUGGUGUCGCCUGCAGUGGCCCAUCAUCGUCGGCGACAGACGGCCGCGGUGCGGCGAAACCGAAAACGCGGUGUUCCUCCUCCUCUUCCUCGCUCUCUACUCACCGGCUGCAUCUGCAUCGGCGUUAUGGCAGCACGAGCAGCGACAACGCAACCGCGGUGCGGUCUCCACUGGCGAGCAGGGACGCGUCCGCUUCAGCGUUCGGAGCUCAAGGCAGCUGGAGUGUGUUUGGCUACUCUGACAACUCCGUCGACCGCCGCAGCAGUGGCGCUCGCGCCCCCGCAGCGUUGUCAUCGCAGAUCUCAAGCGACUUCGCCGGCGGGCAAUUUCCAGGAGACACGCGUUCUCUCUCCCUCCUUGCAUUGCGGCCCUCGCCAUUGACGGCCAUACCGGCGGAAAGCCGCAUCGACAACAGGAACAGCAGUAGCCUCCAUAGCCACCGAAGCGACUCGCCGCCGCCCGCGCUGCCUCUCCCCAAUUCCAUUGUCACUACGCCCACCAAUGUAUGUGCCGAAUUCGCGGCGACACGCGCGAUACCAUCAUCGAGUGCCGUCAGCAGCGGCAGCGGCAGCACCAGCGCCGCGAACGCCGCUAUACAGUUCCUGCGUGCGAGUCGGCUGCGAGAGAACAACAUCCGUGCUGUCAUUGCGGCAGGCGCCGGCAUCAGCGCCGUCGGCCCCUCUUCUCUCUCUUCGACAUUGGACCCCAGCCCAGCCACGAGCCUAAGCAGUAGCAGCUUCUACUCGGCAGUGGCUGCGCCUCCCGCAACCCGAGCACCACGCGUAGUCCGAUCGCCGCACCGGUGCGCCGUCGAGGCCGAUUUCUCGAUGAGUGCUGAAGGAGCGGUGCCGCUAUCGAGGGGCGUCGCCACCACAGGCAGCGAAUCCAUGUCCCUUCCGGCGGACAACGGAGACGCCAGCGGCAAAGAGGUGCAGCGGGUCGGCGCUGCUGUCGCUGCCGCAGGAGCGGUGCGCGCGCAGAUGGAUGCGGUAAUGGUGCAGCAAAAGCCGUCUCGAGCCAAAGACGCCGCCUCGCGGCCACUCCAACAACAACGGCAUCCACAACCUGCGUCGAGCAGUAGCGAGGAGGCUCCGCAGCGCGGUGCAGCGAGCGCGACUUCGCCGUCAUUGCAGCCGCGCUCGACGGACUUGCGUAUUGUCUACGUGAUUGGAGCUGAUCGUGCGACGCUGCUGCGAAGCCUCACGCUGGACGCAACGCGCAGCUUCGCCGCAGGCACGCGGAACUUUCUCUGUUUCUUUACUCGAAAGGACGAGCGGCGUGCGCAGCGGCGGUACAUGGAACAGCUCGACCGGCAGAACCGGGCUGCGUCGCAGCUCUUGGCGCUCCACGAGACGCCUGCGGACGCCUCUCGACCACGUGAGCAGCGUGACAGAAAGAACACCGCUAUCGGCCACGUGCACGCGAGCAGUGCAACGCCCUUGUGCAACAGUGCAGAGGAGACGCUCUUAAGCGCCGGUGUCACAGCCGCGUGGCGCAGCGUCCCGGGACCGCCGUGGAACGUGCGCGCGACGUCGUGGCAUGAUGUGAACCCCUCCAGCGGCGGUUCGCGUAUGUGCGGGCCGGGCUCCGUAGACGGCGGCUUUGGUGACGCCGGCACAGUCAGCCAGCAGCCGCGCGCGACGAGGCCGAGUAAGACAACCUUCUUCAACGUCGCCGGCGCGGACCUGCUGGCUCUGGCGGCAACCCCAACAGACAGCGCCCCCGCCACCGUCACAGCACCGUCGGCGCAUCAGUGCGGCGACUCUUUCUUAUCCAUGAUGCAAAGCCUCGAGAACAGCUUUCGCUCAGUGCUGGAACUCUCGCACGCAGCGCAUCCAGGCACUGCAGAAGUCGCAGCGGCGAGCGCGGCGAGCGCGGCGCCUGAUAGCAGGAGCAGUAGCGCACCGGUCUUCGCCACCACCCCAUCGCUCUCGAUGGCUCAGCCGACGCCGACGGCCCCCGCCCCAUCGGCGCCUCUGGCCGCAUGCUGCGAUGAAGAAGCCGCUCGUGGAGCGGAAGCAGAGGGCACGUUAGCGGCACACUCACAGUCGUCGUCGCUGCUGUCGCACGACUCGGAGAAGUCGUCGAACACGGUGAGUGUCUCCGUGCGCCCUUUCCUCACUUUUGCCAGCCUCCAGGGCACCAACGAUGACAGCGCCGGCUGUGCCCACGCGGAACGGCGGUCGAGUGUCGGCGAGGAGGACUCGAGGGCGCUGCUGCCGCGCCAAGGUGCGACUGAAACAACAGCGCCGCCGCCCCUACCGUCUUACACGGAGGUUUCCGAGCCGCUCCACCUGAAAACGAUCAUCGCCAGUAACCCCAAGGCUGGCGGCCAAGGCAUCCUCGGACACGGUGCCACAGAUGCCGCCACUACCACGAACCCCGUCGCUGACGCUGAUGUGCGGCCACUGUGCUUGGCAUCGAACUCUGAAGAAUCAGCAGCAGCGGGCCAUAAGCACGUGGAUGUGGCGCCGCCCACGGUCAGCAACACCGCCUCUCCGAUCCCCGCGGCAUCGGCUGCCCCUAACAAAGACAGCAAGGAGAGCGAAAAGCGCGCACCAGCAGCGACGGCAAAAAGAGACUCUGAAGCCGCCGUCAUCGACUCGGUGUCAGCUCACGACGUCCGACAGUACCUCGCGACUGUUGGUGUGACGCUGCCGCAGCAGGUGUACCUCCUGCGAGACGCGGGCGCGUUGACGCCGCUGCAGCAGCUGCAGCGUAGCCUCGCCGCCUCCUCGCAUCACGCCUCUGUGCCAACCUCGCGAAGAGACCCUUCUGCGCGCACUACUGGUACCGACGCGCCGACCGCAGCGGUGCCACCCACGGUGGGUAGCACUGCGGCACACCACCGCGCAUUGCUGUCUGCCUCUGCCGCUGCGGUGCUCAGUCGGGGCGCCACUCGCGUUCUGGAGGGGCAAGUCGAGGUGGCUGAGCUGUCACUUGAUGUGCUGCGUCGUCAAAUAUCGCCUUUUAUGCCACUGGAGCCGCCACCGCUGAGCGACAGUGAUGGCGACGACGGUGCCGAGAGCUCGAUGAGCGGCAGUGGCAGCGAUGCGUCCGGUGCUCGUGAAACAUCGGAAUCGUACUCGUGCAGCAGUGGAGCAUCUGACGAUGACGACGGCAAGGUCGUAGUCCGAGAGGAUGCGGCGGGCGCGCGGCGCAGCUCGCCAUUCCGCCGACGGGGGAAGCCGCCGCAGAAGUCGAGGACCACCGCCGCGGCCAACCAUCACGUCGGGCACUCCUCAAAGAAUUGCGGGCCCGCGCAGCGCUCUGGCAAAGCCUCGCGCCCACAGCGGGCGCAUUCGCGGCGGCGGCAUCAGCAGCACUCUCGGUCGUCAAGGGGCCACGGGCGGUCGAGCGCCCGGUCUUCCCUGAAGCACCGGCGACGUCAGCAUGAGCGGCGUCGCAAGCGCCACCUCGCUCGUUGGAACAGACACAUCCAGCAUCAGCGCGCGGCGGCCAACAAGGCCGGCAACAUCCCCGUCGCUGCUGGAGUGCUGUUCUUCACGGCACCGCCGACAUUGCCCGCGGCGCUAGCCCGGCAGCAGCGACAGCUGUUGCUAGAAGAGCUAGAGAGUGGCGAGCGAGGGCGUCUGUUGGUCCCGGACUGGGCAUUGAGCGGGUCCGAGGUCGCCGCACCAGCCACUGGUGCUAACGACGACGCUCGACAGGACGUGCAGCUGGCUCCGUCGCCAUCCCCUCACGACGUACGAUCACCGCCGCGCAGUAUCUGCGUGACACUCAUCUACACCGCCACAGCCGAGCAGGUGGCGCAGGCACUGGUGCGAGCCGCAGAAGUCGCCGCAGCAGCGUCAAAGAACCAGAGCGCCGCGUGUGAUGCAGCCGAUGGAUGGGGCCACCGAAACGGGGACACAGCCAGCCGUGGUCGAAGGCGGAGCCCGACGGUAGCGGCACGGAGAAGGAAGCACACACGCAACGGUCACGACAGUCACGAUUUCCUGGGCAGCAACGCCGACAACGGGCUGCGCUUGUCAAGGCCGUCACAGCAGAGGCCUGAAGCGGCAUUCAUGGACGAAAACUGGCAUGACCAUCGAGAUGUGUCGUUGGCGAGCACGGAAGCGCCCAGCAAGAGCAGCCUGUGCUAUUCCUUUAUCUCCGAGAAGUUGAUGCCGCGGCUGUCGCGGGCGGCCUUCUCGACUGUGGCCCCAGAAGCCUUCUUCGGCGGCGAGAACCUCCUCAACAACAGCCCCGUAGACGUGCUGCCUGCAAGCCGUUGGCGCAUCCUGUCGCCGAACCGCUACUCCGAGACGGCAACCUUCUCGGAAGAGAGUAUGAAGGACACGGACUUUAGUGGUCGACACGGUGGCAAGGGCGACGGUAGCACGGCAGCACCCGCUGCUGCUGCAGCUGCAGCCUCGCCACUCAUGAGUAUACAUGACAGGCCGCCAUCUUUGCUCUUGAUCACCGAAUCCUCGGGCAGCGUCUACGACUACUGCGAAGGCCGUAGCAGCAGCGGAGGGAGCGCGACAGCGGUGGGGGGCCGAUGGGACAGCCUUGGUCGCGACGCCGCCAGUGAUGGCUCUGGUGCUGGUACCAGCUAUGACGGUGUCGGACACACCGGUACGUCGGUGUAUGUUGAAGAGCUCGAACGGAGCAGCAGCAGCGCCCGCGGCAGCUCAGCGCACUUCGCUGACAGCGGGGACGUUGACGACGUUGAGUGGGCAAGUUCAGCGCGCGUCUCUGCCGGCAGCGUGCACGCCGCUAAACCCCCGUCGAAAAGCGUUCGGUUCAAGGCCACCGAGGCUAGGCGAGGCGAGGAGGACAAGGUCGAUGUGGCGCACGAGCUGAUGAACGUGCUGCGCGAUUCGGCGUGCUUCCCUGAUGGCAUCCCGGUCGGCGUCUCCCUCGCCUACGUGCGCAUCGGCAACGAACUCUACGCCAUCACGGAGGUCGUGGACCGCACCUUCCUGCAGUACCGCGAGGAGCGCGUCAUACAGUCUCGCAAGUCUCGCGAGGAAGGCGGCAGCUGCAAUGCAGGCGAUGGCGACGAUGAUUCGCUCACAUCGCUCUCCGACAGUGCCGAGGAUGCUCAGGCAGACAGCUCGUUCUCUUACUCGUCCGUAAGCAACUCGUCUUUUGCGCUGGGCACCUCCUUCAAGACGCUAGACGCCGCCCUGGAAGCCAUCCAGGAGCAGCAUAAAGUUGCAGCGCAGCAACAAUACCGUCGGCUGCAUCGCCGCCGUGCUGUCUCGACAAGCAACUUUGGCGACCUGUCCUACUCCCUCGCCGGCUCUGCGCCGCUGCGGCCAGGCAUGCGGCGGCAAGAGGUGCACAUGUGCUGGCGGUGCCUCAGUGCCGAGGCGGCCGUAAUCUUCGUUCCCUGCGGCCACUACGCGGUCUGUGAAGCGUGUGCAGAGGUGCUGGCGGACUGCUGCCUGUGUCGCACACCGAUCCUGUCGAGUGUGGUGCUGCUGGAGCACCACAACUCUCAACAAGCGCAGCAGCAGCCGUCGAAGCAGAAGUGAGACCAGAGCCGAGAGCACACCACCACCACCACGAACGCGAGUCGCGCAGGGAUGUGUCGAGCCUUGUGCUGGCACAAGGAAGGGCGAAGGGGAGAGCAGAGGUUUGAAGACGCGAUAUCAUAGCGCGUGCGCACGCAGUAAGCGUCUGUGGCAGAGCUCAGGUGUCCGAUCCUGUUGGUCACCCGCAAGCACCUUCGCAGUUUUCGGGCCUUUUGAAAAGAGGGGGCUGAUGCGUCUGUCAACGCCUCCGCGGCGCGCCCUCACGCAUACACCGUGUGGGCCCCUCUUCCCCGCUCUCGCUUCUGGCCUACUCCGCGCGGUCUGUGUGUGGUGUGUGUGUGUGUGUGUGUGUGUGUGUGCUUGUGUGUCUGUCUGUCUGUCUGCGUGUGCGUGGUUGCCCGGGUGUGAGGCGCUCGCGCGCACAUCAACACGUGGCCUCCAUCACCUCUCUCGUCUUGGACAUCUCGCUCAUCUCUCUGUUCUCCACCCACCUUUCAUGCUUUGCCUCUGCAGCUCGUUCGCGUUUUGGGGUGUCCAUCGACGACCGCGUGCACAUUCCGCAUGCGCGAUGAGUGUCGCAGUCGCUACGCUCGUGCACUGGUGGGCUGCCUCCCACACACAAACACACCUCGAGACGCGCACUAACGCGGGCUCGACCCACCAGCACACGCACCCAAGCGUACUUCCGUAUGCCUAGCCACUGUCUGUCUGUUGCGCCGUUCGCUGUUGAACAAACCGCUCGCACCGAGCCAACAGUCACGAAAGACAAGCGGAAAGCGCUCGCACAAUAG